GAAACGCGAUAAGUAAUGUGAAUUGCAGAAUUCAGUGAAUCAUCGAAUCUUUGAACGCACCUUGCGCUCCUUGGUAUUCCUUGGAGCAUGCCUGUUUGAGUAUCAUGAAAUCUUCAAAGUAAAUCUUUUGUUAACUCAAUUGGUUUCUACUUUGGUAUUGGAGGUCUUUGCAGCUUCACACCUGCUCCUCUUUGUUCAUUAGCUGGAUCUCAGUGUUAUGCUUGGUUCCACUCGGCGUGAUAAGUUAUCUAUCGCUGAGGACACUGUAAAAGGUGGCCAAGGUAAAUGCAGAUGAACCGCUUCUAAUAGUCCAUUGACUUGGACAAUACUUUUAUGAUCUGAUCUCAAAUCAGGUAGGACUACCCGCUGAACUUAAGC
rnacentral:misc_RNA from 1 species